UACAGAGGAGCCAAGCGUUGUCCGGAUUGACUGGGCGUAAAGCGCACGCAGGCGGCACUUCAAGUCUGUCGUCAAAGACUGGGGCUUAACCCUGGAAAGGCAGUGGAAACUGAACAGCUAGAGUAUGGUAGGGGCAGAGGGAAUUCCUGGUGUAGCGGUGAAAUGCGUAGAGAUCAGGAAGAACAUCGGUGGCGAAGGCGGCGCUCUGGGCCGGUACUGACACUGAGGAGCGAAAGCGUGGGUAGCAAACAGG
rnacentral:rRNA from 1 species